AGUCGAGCGGUAACAUUUCUAGCUUGCUAGAAGAUGACGAGCGGCGGACGGGUGAGUAACGCGUAGGAAUCUGCCUAGUAGUGGGGGACAACAUGUGGAAACGCAUGCUAAUACCGCAUACGCCCUGAGGGGGAAAGGAGGGGAUCUUAGGACCUUUCGCUAUUAGAUGAGCCUGCGUGAGAUUAGCUAGUUGGUGAGGUAAAGGCUCACCAAGGCGACGAUCUCUAGCUGGUCUGAGAGGAUGAUCAGCCACACUGGGACUGAGACACGGCCCAGACUCCGACGGGAGGCAGCAGUGGGGAAUAUUGGACAAUGGGGGCAACCCUGAUCCAGCCAUGCCGCGUGUGUGAAGAAGGCCUUAGGGUUGUAAAGCACUUUCAGGAGUGAGGAAGGGUGUACGGUUAAUACCCGUAUAUUUUGACGUUAACUCCAGAAGAAGCACCGGCUAACUCUGUGCCAGCAGCCGCGGUAAUACAGAGGGUGCAAGCGUUAAUCGGAAUUACUGGGCGUAAAGC
rnacentral:rRNA from 1 species